rnacentral:piRNA from 1 species
UGCAUACAUAGAAAAAUUGUACCUGCAUAGU